rnacentral:rRNA from 1 species
UACGAGUGCCCCAAGCGUUAUCCGGAAUCAUUGGGCGUAAAGGGUGUGUAGGUGGUCCGAUUAGUCUUCUGUCAAACCUCCUGGCUCAACCAGGAAAUUGCAGAGGAAACGGUCGAACUUGAGGAUGCGAGGGGUGAAUGGAACUCAUGGAGUAGGGGUGAAAUCCGUUGAUAUCAUGGGGAACACCAAAAGCGAAGGCAAUUCACUGGCGCAUUCCUGACACUGAAACACGAAAGCGUGGGUAGCGAACGGG